UGCUGGAUUAAAUAUCAUCUAACAAAUGCUUGUUUCUAAUGUCACUGUACUUGUGUUUAUUUUAUAGUAACCAAAAUACUAUGACACAAUUUGUACAUUAUAAUUUCAAUGGGAGAUGUUUAAUAACCAGAUUAAUAAAACAGCUUGUGCGUGUGUAUUGUAAUGUUCAUGAUGUGUGAAGCAGAAAACGAAAUGUAUGUUCACUUUCCAAUAUUUGAACUAGAAAUACCCCUUUGAACUUCAAUUACUUAAUACAAUAACAGAGAAUUGUUUACAAACAUACAAUCAAGCAUGUGACUAUAUAUUCUUACUAAAACUUUUCUGUCUUGACUUUAUCAUCUUAAAGGCGCUUUUCCCUGGAUCCAACCUAAUCGUAUUUUUUAAUCCGUCGAGGGUGGAGAGGAGGGGACAAGAUAUAAUCCUUGGCUAGCGACGAUAACAUAAAAAUGCCUUUAAUGCAAUCGAACAAUUUCCUGAUUUAAUCAAUACAGUUUAACUUAAUAACUUCAACUCAGGAAACUAAGUUUAACUUAUGAAAAGCAAUUCCAUAACCAGGCUUAUCUGUAGUCUUUCACAUAAUUCUUAUUUUUGCAAAUUAUACAUUAGUUCAGAACUUGCUGUCAAUAAAAAAAAAU
rnacentral:lncRNA from 1 species